rnacentral:lncRNA from 1 species
UUAACAUCUAAUGGACUCUCUCAUUUCUUUCUGUCUCCUUCUGAAAAGUGAAGGGUAUUUCUUUCCCUUCCCCUUCCUCCAGCGUUUCUCUGAAAUGCUAAAGCAUCUGGCUGCCUCUGAGCAAGGACAAACUGCAAACACCUGGGUGCUGGGGGGUUUUUCUCCUCCCCUCUCCUUCCUGAGCUCUGCAGCUGCAGGACAGAGUGUUCUGAGGCUGUGAAUGGCACCUUCUCCCCGUGGCUGCCCUUCCAUCAGAAACAGCCUCUGGCUCUUGUCGCUUGAUUUAAAGGGUCCUCACUCCGCUGCUGACCCGAUUACCUCACGAUGAAAUGAUGUGGGGCCGUGACACCGAGGCAUGAUGUCAUGGGCCUUGACGUGUCACCAGAAGAAAUACAAGCUUCCUGGUGCUGGAACUGUAUUACAAGACCAGCCAUGCUUCCAGUGGAGAGCAGUCUGACAGGUCUUUGUCUCUUUGGAUGGACACAUCUGGGGAUGAUGAUUUUACCUCUCUUACCCUCAUCCCUGAUGAAAUGCUGGCUGUGCUCCCUCCUGCUCAGAACCUGUUUCUGCCUCCAUAAGGGAUCACACCAAUAUCCUCAAGAGUUCACACCAAUAUCCUCAAGAGUUCAGAAUUCUGGGUUCAAGGGGCGUGCACAAGGAGACACAAAGAACCAUCUCUGACACAAAAAAAUACCCUGCUAUAAUUUAUGUCUUCUGUGCUUCCCUAGUGAGCAGAGCAGGAUUUUUGCUCCUGAUUUCACUGGAAAAAUUUGGAUCUGAAAUGAAAGGUGACACAAUGUGCUGCCCAGGUCUAUUACUGUCAGUUGUCUUGAGCUGGCAGAUUAUUCAUGGCAAGUAAUUUAUAUAGCACUUUUACUUAUCCUGCCCUUUAUCUCAUCUGUGGUCAAUUUGUUGGAAGUCCUUCUAAUUAGAGUUGUCUUUGCCAAUCACACGGUUUAUUUGUAUUAGCUCAUUGGCUAAAUGUAGCUCUUACAAGGCAUUAAUGAUAUAUAACUGUUAUGAGAAUAGGAAGAACUCCUUUCAAC